rfam:Fusobacterium varium ATCC 27725 genomic scaffold supercont2.7, whole genome shotgun sequence.
AGUUUAGAUAGAGGAGCAGAAAACAAGAGUAUAACUAUAUUAGUCUGGCAGACAUUUAAAAUAGUUAGAAAGGGAAUUUUGCCGAAAUGGAAGAGAAUUAGCCAUUCUCUUUUGUUGGGAAUAUAGAGAAUAUCUAUAUUACUGUCAUUGAUUAUCAAUGGAGUGCUAUCUGUGGG